AGGGCGAGGCCUGGGGUAGGGCCAGGAUAAGCCUCACUGGGGCAGGUCCUGGGUAGAGACCAGGUUGGCGGGUCUUGGGGCGGGGCCAGGAUAGGGCGAUCCUGGAAGCUGGGCUUCGGAAGCGUCCAGGUUGGUGGCGUCCUGGAGGCAGUGCCUUGCGUGGGGGCAGGAUAAGAGUCCUGGAGGCGGGCAUUAGGGCGGGGAUAAACGCCAUUGGGUUCAGGAGGCGGGACUCAGAGCAGAGCCCAGGAGACAGGUCUUAGGGCGGGGCUAAGGCCAGACCCAGAGAAGGGCUCAGGAGGCGGGGCAGGGGCGGGGCGUUGACUAUGUCUUGGCACAUGGCCAGGCGGUGCGCGGACUCUGGGAGGCGGAGCUUAGGACGGGCCCACGUGGGGAGGGGCCCAGGGUCCGGGAGGCGGUGCCGAGUCCCGGCUGGGCUGCGCUCAGGAGGCGGGCCCUGGGAGGCGGAGCUUAGGGAGGGGCCGGUGGCGGGAGGGACCCAGGGACUGGGAGGCUGGUCGGGGCUGGGCUCAGGGUCCGAGACCUAGCUGGGCUUGGGGCGGGGCCGAGACGGAGCGAGGGGUCCAGGGUGUGGGAAACGGGGAGGGGUUUGAGGAGAGGAUCGGAAUGUGGCUCAAGUUCGGGAGGCGUUACCUGCGGAGGGUUUGAGGCAGGCCCAGGAGCGAGCCCACGGUCUGCCUACGCGGGGCCAGGGGCGGGAUAUAGACGUGGGGACAGAGUGGAAAACAACAAAAAUAUAAUUAUUUUAGUUCAAAGUUAUUGUGUCUUGAGUUGAAAGGCAGGGCAGUUAGCAACACAGUUCAGAUUUCAGUACUGCCCCUGAAAUCUGAACUGUGUUCAAAGUCUAAAACGUUUACCUUAGCAAAUUCCUCAUAAAACUCCAUUUGGAAGAGUCCCGAGAGCGAAUUUGUUAAGUACACUUGCAAAAGGUAGAUGAGGAGACAGAUAAAAUCUUAUUACCUCUUUCAGAUGAGAGCCACUUGAGCCCUGCUCAGCUAUGAGAAUAAGAGAGGGGAAUUAAUUCUAAUUGAAUACACUUGUUCUCUUAUAGCUGUUGUUCCACACCAGAACCAAAUGAGCGCAAGAUCUGACAAAGAAAAAAAAAGGUUCAUCUUUUAUUCCUCCAAACACUUUCAUUUAAAUCAAGAGGAUGGGAUGUGGUUAUUGCUGUGUUUUUAGGCAGAAUCAACGGUUUCUGGGUCUGAGAUGGUGCAUACACCCUCUCAGUCCCUGUAUCCUGAGAUGGAGUCACCUAAGAAUCCACAGCAAGUCCUAACCAGGGAUGGGUCUGGGUGAUUAAGGAAGGUUGGCUUCAGAACUGGGCCAGGGGCACUGCUUUGCUUUUGCUGUUUUGAUCAGCUCUCUGCCUGCAGGAGACAAGGAAAACCAAUGGGAACAGGUUAGUUGUACUCAUAAAUCCUGGGCUUAUUUUCUUAACUCACAUAAUAGCUAUUAAUUGUCUUUCCUCCAAGGAGCAAAAGGGCAUAUAUGGUCAAUGCCAUAGUAAGUAACAUUGUAUUAUGUUAUACUAAAAUAUUAAUAAAUCUAGGUUG
rnacentral:lncRNA from 1 species